GGGUAUAGACCCGAAACCCGGUGAUCUAGCCAUGGGCAGGUUGAAGGUUGGGUAACACUAACUGGAGGACCGAACCGACUAAUGUUGAAAAAUUAGCGGAUGACCUGUGGCUGGGGGUGAAAGGCCAAUCAAACCGGGAGAUAGCUGGUUCUCCCCGAAAGCUAUUUAGGUAGCGCCUCGUGAAUUCAUCUCCGGGGGUAGAGCACUGUUUCGGCUAGGGGGCCAUCCCGGCUUACCAACCCGAUGCAAACUGCGAAUACCGGAGAAUGUUAUCACGGGAGACACACGGCGGGUGCUAACGUCCGUCGUGAAGAGGGAAACAACCCAGACCGCCAGCUAAGGUCCCAAAGUCAUGGUUAAGUGGGAAACGAUGUGGGAAGGCCCAGACAGCCAGGAUGUUGGCUUAGAAGCAGCCAUCAUUUAAAGAAAGCGUAAUAGCUCACUGGUCGAGUCGGCCUGCGCGGAAGAUGUAACGGGGCUAAACCAUG
rnacentral:rRNA from 3 species